UACAGAGGUGGCAAGCGUUGUUCGGAUUUAUUGGGCGUAAAGGGUCCGUAGGCGGUUUGGAAAGUCGGGUGUGAAAUCCUACAGCUUAACUGUAGAACUGCAUUCGAAACUCCCAGACCAGAGUAUGAGAGGGGUUAAGGGAAUUCCCGGUGUAAGGGUGAAAUCUGUAGAUAUCGAGAGGAACACCAGUGGCGAAGGCGCCUCACUGGCCGGUAACUGACACUGAGCUGCGAAAGCAAGGGGAGCAAACAGG
rnacentral:rRNA from 1 species